rnacentral:rRNA from 1 species
UACGUAGGGUGCGAGCGUUGUCCGGAAUUAUUGGGCGUAAAGAGCUCGUAGGUGGUCUGUCACGUCGGAUGUGAAAACUCGGGGCUCAACCCCGAGCCUGCAUUCGAUACGGGCAGACUAGAGUUCGGUAGGGGAGACUGGAAUUCCUGGUGUAGCGGUGAAAUGCGCAGAUAUCAGGAGGAACACCGGUGGCGAAGGCGGGUCUCUGGGCCGAUACUGACACUGAGGAGCGAAAGCUAGGGGAGCAAACGGG